AGAGUUUGAUCAUGGCUCAUAAUCGAGCUGGCGGCGUGCCUAACACAUGCAGGUCGAAGGAGAAAGUGGGGGCAACUCCAUGAGUAAAGUGGCAGACGGGUGAGUAACACGUGAACAACCUACCCUCAAGUGUGGGAUAACACCGCGAAAGCGGUGCUAAUACCGCAUAACAUCUUCGGGUCGCAUGAUCUGGAGAUCAAAAGCGCACGUUGCUUGAGGAGGGGUUCGCGCCUGAUUAGCUAGUUGGUGAGGUAACGGCCCACCAAGGCAACGAUCAAUAGCCGGCCUGAGAGGGCGAACGGCCACACUGGAACUGAGACACGGUCCAGACUCCUACGGGAGGCAGCAGUGGGGAAUUUUGCGCACUGGGCGAAAGCCUGACGCAGCAACGCCGCGUGGAGGAUGAAGGCCUUCGGGUCGUAAACUCCUGUCAGUGGGGACGAAUGCUUCGCAAGAAGUUUGACUGUACCCGCUGAGGAAGCCACGGCUAACUCCGUGCCAGCAGCCGCGGUAAUACGGAGGUGGCAAGCGUUGUUCGGAAUUACUGGGCGUAAAGGGCGCGUAGGCGGCUUUGCAAGUCAGAUGUGAAAGCCCCGGGCUUAACUCGGGAAUUGCAUCUGAAACUGCUUAGCUUGAGUCCUGGAGGGGAUAGUGGAAUUCCCAGUGUAGCGGUGAAAUGCGUAGAUAUUGGGAGGAACACCUGCGGCGAAGGCGGCUAUCUGGACAGUGACUGACGCUGAGGCGCGAAAGCUAGGGGAGCGAACGGCAUUAGAUACCCCGGUAGUCCUAGCUGUAAACGAUGGGCACUUGGUGUUGGGGGGUAUUGAGUCCCUCGUGCCGGAGUUAACACGUUAAGUGCCCGCCUGGGGAGUACGGUCGCAGACUGAAACUCAAGGAAAUUGACCGGGCCCGCACAGCGUGGAGCAUGUGUCAAUUCACGCAACGCGAGACUUACCGGGCUGGACUGUACUGCUACCGUGAACAUGGAAUC
rnacentral:rRNA from 1 species